rnacentral:rRNA from 1 species
CCUACGGGCGACAGCAGUGGGGAAUAUUGGGCAAUGGGCGCAAGCCCGACCCAGCAACGCCGCGUGAAGGAAGAAGGCUUUCGGGUUGUAAACUUCUUUUCUCAGGGACGAGGAAAGUGACGUUACCUGCGGAAUAGGCCCCGGCUAACUACGAGCCAGCAGCCGCGGUAAUACGUAGGUGGCAAGCGUUAUCCGGAUUUAUUGGGUGUAAAGGGCGUGUAGGCGGGAGCGCAAGUCAGAUGUGAAAACUCAGGGCUUAACCCUGAUCCUGCAUUUGAAACUGUGUUUCUUGAGUGCUGGAGAGGCAAUCGGAAUUCCGUGUGUAGCGGUGAAAUGCGUAGAUAGACGGAGGAACACCAGUGGCGAAGGCGGAGUGCUGGACAGUAACUGACGCUGAGGCGCGAAAGCGUGGGGAGCAAACAGGAUUAGAUACCCCUGUAGUC